UACGAAGGGGGCUAGCGUUGUUCGGAAUUACUGGGCGUAAAGCGCACGCAGGCGGCUCGAUAAAUUAGAAGUGAAAGCCCCGGGCUUAACCUGGGAAUUGCUUUUAAGACUGUCGGGCUAGAAUCCAGAAGAGGGUAGUGGAAUUCCGAGUGUAGAGGUGAAAUUCGUAGAGAUCCGGAGGAACACCAAAGGCGAAGGCAGUGUCCUGGGGAGUACCUGACGCUCAGGUGCGAAAGCCAGGGGAGCGAACGGG
rnacentral:rRNA from 1 species